UACGUAGGGCGCAAGCGUUGUCCGGAAUUAUUGGGCGUAAAGAGCUCGUAGGCGGUUUGGCAAGUCGGGUGUGAAACCUCCAGGCUCAACCUGGAGUCGCCACCCGAUACUGCUAUGACUUGAGUCUGGUAGGGGAUCACGGAAUUCCUGGUGUAGCGGUGAAAUGCACAGAUAUCAGGAGGAACACCGGUGGCGAAGGCGGUGAUCUGGGCCAGUACUGACGCUCAAGAGCGAAAGCGUGGGUAGCGAACAGG
rnacentral:rRNA from 1 species